CCUACGGGAGGCAGCAGUGAGGAAUAUUGGUCAAUGGGCGAGAGCCUGAACCAGCCAAGUCGCGUGAGGGAGUACUGCCCUAUGGGUUGUAAACCUCUUUUGUCGGGGAGCAAAAGCCGGACGUGUCCGGCUGUGAGAGUACCCGAAGAAAAAGCAUCGGCUAACUCCGUGCCAGCAGCCGCGGUAAUACGGAGGAUGCGAGCGUUAUCCGGAUUUAUUGGGGUUAAAGGGUGCGCAGGCGGAGUUUUAAGUCAGCGGUCAAAUCGUGGGGCUCAACCCCAUCCAGCCGUUGAAACUGGGGAUCUAGAGUGUGCGAGAGGUAUGCGGAAUGCGUGGUGUAGCGGUGAAAUGCAUAGAUAUCACGCAGAACCCCGAUUGCGAAGGCAGCAUACCGGUGAACAACUGACGCUCAGGCACGAAAGCGUGGGUAUCGAACAGGAUUAGAUACCCCAGUAGUC
rnacentral:rRNA from 1 species